rnacentral:lncRNA from 1 species
UGCACAGAUUACUCCUUUUAUUACAUCUGAGUUUAGAAAGAAGGAGUGUAAAGAUUUAAGAUAUGGAUCUGUAGGUGAUACAGCUUCGUUAGUGAUGCUCUGUCCUCCAUGGUGGUAGUGUCUCAUGAACUUGGUGUGGCUUGCCAGGGAAGGAUCCAAAAGCUGAAAUAACUUCUAUUGUCCAGAGCUGUACAGCUGCUGAAUUGCUUUUUGAGAGAGGAGGAGAGAACACCAAGGAAUUACUCGUACAGCAGCUUUGGGAAGGGCAGCUCUCAUCAGCUGCUUUCUUGUGCCAACACCGAAGCCAAAGCACCAUAUGGUGGCUCACUGAAGAGUGG